GCAAUUCGAUGCGCUCUCGGGUAGAGCAUCCCGCCUUAUGGCGGGAAGGUCGUGAGUUCGAUUCUCACUAACGGCU
rnacentral:tRNA from 1 species